AACGAACGCUGGCGGCAUGCCUAACACAUGCAAGUCGAACGAGACCUUCGGGUCUAGUGGCGCACGGGUGCGUAACGCGUGGGAACCUGCCCUUAGGUUCGGAAUAACUCCCCGAAAGGGGUGCUAAUACCGGUUAAUGUCUUCGGACCAAAGAUUUAUCGCCUUUGGAUGGGCCCGCGUUGGAUUAGCUAGUUGGUAGGGUACAAGCCUACCAAGGCGACGAUCCAUAGCUGGUCUGAGAGGAUGAUCAGCCACACUGGGACUGAGACACGGCCCAGACUCCUACGGGAGGCAGCAGUGGGGAAUAUUGGACAAUGGGCGAAAGCCUGAUCCAGCAAUGCCGCGUGAGUGAUGAAGGCCUUAGGGUUGUAAAGCUCUUUUACCCGGGAUGAUAAUGACAGUACCGGGAGAAUAAGCUCCGGCUAACUCCGUG
rnacentral:rRNA from 1 species